UGACGCUGAGGCUCGAAAGCAUGGGUAGCGAACAGGAUUAGAUACCUGGUAGUCCAUGCCGUAAACGAUGAGUGCUAAGUGUUGGAGGGUUUCCGCCCUUCAGUGCUGCAGCUAACGCAUUAAGCACUCCGCCUGGGGAGUACGACCGCAAGGUUGAAACUCAAAGGAAUUGACGGGGGCCCGCACAAGCGGUGGAGCAUGUGGUUUAAUUCGAAGCUACGCGAAGAACCUUACCAGGUCUUGACAUCUUCUGCCAAUCUUAGAGAUAAGACGUUCCCUUCGGGGACAGAAUGACAGGUGGUGCAUGGUUGUCGUCAGCUCGUGUCGUGAGAUGUUGGGUUAAGUCCCGCAACGAGCGCAACCCUUAUUAUCAGUUGCCAGCAUUCAGUUGGGCACUCUGGUGAGACUGCCGGUGACAAACCGGAGGAAGGUGGGGAUGACGUCAAAUCAUCAUGCCCCUUAUGACCUGGGCUACACACGUGCUACAAUGGACGGUACAACGAGUCGCGAAGUCGUGAGGCUAAGCUAAUCUCUUAAAGCCGUUCUCAGUUCGGAUUGUAGGCUGCAACUCGCCUACAUGAAGUUGGAAUCGCUAGUAAUCGCGGAUCAGCAUGCCGCGGUGAAUACGUUCCCGGGCCUUGUACACACCGCCCGUCACACCAUGAGAGUUUGUAACACCCAAAGCCGGUGAGAUAACCUUCGGGAGUCAGCCGUCUAAGGUGGGACAGAUGAUUAGGGUGAAGUCGUAACAAGGUAGCCG
rnacentral:rRNA from 2 species